CCAGAGGAUAGCUUUGGAUUCUGCAUCUCACUCAGGGUCCUGCUGAGGCUGGAGAGGAGAUACUUCUUGUCUCCAAUUAGAGGUGGAGGGAAUGAUCCCACUCCUCUACCUCGGGUGAGAGGCUGAGGAAGCAUCAGGUUUUCUUGACUAUUUUGCUAGGCCAGACACUUCUAGGAUUGCUCUUCUCUUUGAUCUUUUAGCAGGCUGGUACGUUUUCCCACCCCUCCCCCAUUCUCCUACCCACCAGACCCCUGAAUUUAAAAACAAACAAACAAAAAACCUCUAGGAUCCUUGCAUUUUCAGCCUUAAGCCUGAUUUCAACAUCCAAUCUCUUCCUCCAUCUCCGCUCCAACUUUCUGCUUUUCAGCUUUAAAUUUCCUCCUCGUCAGAGGAACUCACUACCUUUACUCUCAACUCUGCCUUUUCAUUCUCUUUCACCACCCCGUGGUCCCUGCCCCAGCUCCACUCGGGUACCCCAGGCCAAAAAAUCAAACCUACACAAGUUGCCACUGAGAUGCUGAGGGGCGUCAUCACCUCCUAGCAACUCUCCUAGCAACGGGGUAACAUCUGCUCCCUCUGGUCCAAUACGAGAAGAGAACAGCUGGGCGUCCGCCUCCUGCUCUAAGGGAGGGGAGGUGAGCUGGGCUUCAGUGACUGAAAGAACCUGCAGGAGCUAAAGGCUGUGAGUCCACCGUGCUGCUGCUGCUGCCGCUGCUGCUGUUGCUGCUACCGCUACGCUGCCCUCCACUGCUUUUGCUGCGACUGGACUGCUGCCUCUGUCCAAGUUGGCCAGAAGAGCAAGAGCCCCAGUCAAAGAGUGCGAACGCCAAACGCAAGGAAAGCACCUGCAUCUUUGCAAAACAGGUGGACGCAGCUAACUGCUCCUUGGUGGCCCCUGCUUGCGAGGCUCAUCUCUUAUAAUAACACCGUGAAUUAUUUCAUCUUUGAACACAAAGGAAAACCUUCAGAUCCUGGGAAGCUGAGGCUCAGGGAUGUCAACUGAUUUGUUCAAGCUCAUCCAGUAAACGUAUUACCAUCUACAUUAACGACGUCGAAAGUAGCCUACUUUAAGAGAAAAUAUGCAGAAGAAGAAGAUUUACAUCAAGAUUACAAUGGGUAUUUUCCAAAACACCUGAUAUUAGCAGAAGACCGGACCUGCAUUCUAAAACUUUCCCUAGAAAAGCUCAGGUUUCUUGAAGAUCCUGAAACCUACCUUCGAAGGUCUGUGCUGAUCAACAAUUUGCUGAGGAAGAUCCACCUGGAGGCAGAGAAAGAGAGUUAUGAAUACUUUAAGGAAGCUCCCUGUUAUAGGACUGCUUAUUCUGAUACAAGAAAACGGCUGAAGUUUAUGGUACAAGAAUGCUGCUCUCAAUCACUCUAUUAUGAAGAGCUGCAUUCGUACCAUAUUGUGCCUUAUUCUGCGGAGAAUGCCAUUUAUGGAAUGGGCUAUAGUAGCAGCCACUUGGAGCAAAAUUCUCAGUUGCUUAUUUAUAAAAUGAAUUAAGUGACUGCUAGGUUGAUUUCGCAUUUAUGUUUCAAAAUGUCUGAACUGUUUCUAAAUGAACAGGAUGUACCAACUGCUCAGUGCAUUUGGAAUCAAACUGAGAUGCACUUUGAACUGAAUGGAAGAGUACUUUGAUGAAUAUUUAGCAGUCUUUAGUAUCAUAAUAUUGAAUUAAAACUAUGUCCAUACAUUUUAAACUUUGCAGAUCUAGUGCUUUUGGAAACUCAGAUCUUUUUUAAGAUAUGGUUUCUAAUGUAAAGUUGUUCAUGCAGAUUUUUAGACAUUUUCAUCUUUAUUUGUUAUACCACCAUAGGUGGAGAAUUUAAAAAAUAAAAGAAGGAACCGACUCACUUGACAGUGUAGUCUCAAUGAGGAUGAUGGGUAAUUUGAAGUUGGCAUCCUCUAAAUGAUGAGAAAGUGGUGCUUUGUGUUUUUAUGAGCAUUAGUGUCAAAGCAUUUUCUGGGCACUAUUCUCAGCCCCAAGAGCUAGAAUGAAAAAUGGGGCAGCAGAUCCUGUAAAGUAAAUUCAGAACAAAACAGAAUUUUCUUUUGGAAAGAGACUUUAAAUGGAUCCACUAAAUUGUGUUCUGUUUUACUCAUCUCAUGGCUUAGUAGCCUUUGUUGUUGAGCAGUGAAAUUUAGUGAACCCCAUGUCUGGGUCUUGCCACCAUUCACAGUUUGUGGUGGGUCACUACAUAAUAGUAAUACUUUUAUUUAAUUUAUAUGCUCAUUUGUGUUGCAGGCUGUAGAGUCUGGGGAAAGGGUGGGUGGGUAAACUUUUCCACAAACUGAUUUUUUUUCUAUAGUUAUCUUGAAGGCUGGAAUAAGCUAGCAGAUAACAUUAAGGCUUUCUUGCUUUACCAAUUUCUAAGUGUGUUCUAGAACAUGCAAUUUCAGUUUUGCAUUGGUCUUAGCAUUACUGUCAAACACUAAUUGAAACAGUUUCUGAAUGAUAUUGGCAUAACAGUUUAGGUAGUCAUAUUUUGAAAUGUGAAAGAUGUUUAUGUUUAUUUAAUAUAUUAGAUAAUUAUUAAAAUUUUUGAGGUAUUUUAUAUCAUUUGGGAUUUGAGUGUGAUGUCUAUCUUCAGUUUUUGGAGUUUUGUCUGAUCAAGCAUGUCAUGUAAAAAAGAUAAUAAAGUGAUCAAAGCAGAUUGGGAAAACUAGUUGCCAAAGGUAUACCCAGAACAAACCAAAGACUAGUGUUACUGAGGCUGUGGCAUUGAAAAGAAGAGUUGAAGAUAAGGAUUGCAUAGUAAUGAAGAGGAACACUACUGAUGCUUCUGCAAACUUGGUGUUUACUAGUGUGUUUCAUGAUCAUUUUGGGACUUUUUACACAGAAUAAUAGAAUAGUCAAAGACCUGCUAUAGGUGGUAGGUUACAAACCUUCAAUGAUCAUACUCCAUCAGUGGUGAAAAGGGGAUGGUUUGCUGUCACAUGGUCCUGAUGCUGAAAGCAGACCCUCCACUGAGAAAAUGAUUUUCUAUUUGAGAGAUUUGUAGCUUCCAAUUUUACUCAUGUUGUUUGUGACCUAUUGGGAACUGUCACCAUGCUGACCGUGGAUGCAUUUGGUAUGAAGGAUUUAAAAAAUCUUAAUUAGAAUGCACGGCAGCAGAUUGCAAAGAUAUAGCUGCAGCCUUUGCCAGGUAUGUUUUUAAUGGUACUAUUAAACCUAGGAUAAAAAGCAUUAGAGUGAAAUGAAAAAUCAGAAUUGAGGUUAAUGCCCAUGCAAGGUAAGCUGAAUGGAAAAUCCUAAUGGGAAAAAAAAAACCCUAAACAUCUGGGAGCCAAAUUUAGUCUAGAAGUUCAAAAAACUUUAAAACCUGCCCUUUGCCCCCAUACCAAGAAAGAAACAGUCACUUCCCAUAAUAGGUCUUUUAUCACUUAGGAUUCAUAAAGCAUGAUAAUAUGAAUUACAAAGGCUGUGAAUGUAAGAGGAGAAACAGAAAAAGGAAGUUUUCCCAGCUAAAAUUAAUGGGGGAUUUCAGAUUUUUGCUGGAAGAGGUAAUAUGCUUGGCUUAAGGACAAAGCUACAUUAAUUUGCCUUUAAGAAGAAACCUAAUAAUAUUAGAUAAUGCAUGCAUCAAAGCAUUUUUAAAAAAUGAAGGUAAAAGUGAAUAAUACACUUAUCCUGGGGAAAAAUUAGCAUAGAGAAGGUGAAGGGAUUAAAGGAGCUUUUUGUAUCAAAUGUCAAUGAAUGAAUUGCUGGUGAAACCAGCUACUCUAUGUGGCAGAAUUAUAGCAAAAUCUGUCUCAGUUGAUCCCACAUCAUUUAAAGAGCUCACUAAUCUGUCAGUGCAUAUGAAGGGGAGCUCUAAAAAUGAGUAACUCCGAAAAUAUAUUAAAAUAUUUCCUUAAAAACUGUGAAACACAUACAAAUGUAAAGGCUAGUUAAAGUACUAAUUCAUUUUUUAGGGCAUUUAUACUUUUUCAUAAAAACGGUAAGAAUAGUUCAUUGAUAAGGAGCCUCCCGUUAGCUUGAAACCUCUAUUCUCCCGAGUUAAGAGACAAGAUUAAGGCUAUGUAACCAGAGUGCCAUUAACUACACUUCCUGGGCUCCUCUUUAGCUGCCUCAUUGUCCACCUCCCCUCCUCUAACUUAGGUGAAGUGAACUUCAUAACGGAGGGAAAUCCUAGAUAAGCAACCAUGAGUUGCUUAUCAUGAUAGGGCUAAGUGAUGCCAGUUGGUGUCGCUAGCAGGCUGAAGGUAUGGUUAGAACAUGGGUUAAAAAAGGAAGCAAGGAAAGGCAAAUAGAAAAGAGCAGGAAAAAUGAAAUCCAUAGCGUAGCGGGAGAAAGGUUAGAGAAAGAAAAGAAAGAGGUGAUUCUUUCUGGGAUUGUUCAGCUGCCACCAACAGCUGGCAUCGGAGCCCUUGGCUGUCCACUCCAUCCAGACAAAGAACCCAUUCAUCUCCUAGGUUCAUUACUUUGCAUUCACCAGGGAUGCUGGAUUGUAUUUAGUCCAUAUUCAAUUGAACAAUUUAUGUGCUAAAUUUUUAAAUCUUCCACUAAAUAGUCCGCUGGGGGCAUGGCUACAAAUGAAAAGAGACAAUGAAUAGGAUAUUAUAUCGAUAGGCUCAAGCAGCAGGUUUGAGCCAAAUACCACAUCAGUUUUAAUCCCUUCCUAGAGUUUUGCAAAAUGAGUGCCCCCCCCCCCAAGAAGUGAAUCUGGGAGCAGGUACUUUUUCCACUGUUCCAUUCUGGGAAUGCUUAACAGGCAAGUGCCUCUGCAGGCUGUGGAGGAGAAUAAUACCAGACCCUAAAGAAUCAGAAGCCCAGCACUGAACCUCUUAGAAACUAUUCUUAUAAUUUGCAGUUAGGAACUAAUAGGUGUAGAACCAGGGGGUAGGGAACUGGGGGGCAAAUCACACCGUGCUCCUCUCUCAUCUUCCUCCAAAAGGGUUUUCUUUCUUUCUUUUUUUCCAUGUAGGCAAAAUAAAAAAAAGGGGGAAAAGUCCCCAAAGGGUAAUAGCUUUUGGGUUAUGUAAAAAAAAACAACAACAGGCAAGAAGAGUCUCACUCUAUUUGUUUAAUUGAGUUAGAAGGGCUAUUGAUGGUCAGAAUAUGAGUGUAUUUAUCACUUGCUGACAGUAUGUUAUAUGAGCUUCAGGCUUUUUUUUUUUAAGUAUCUCCUAAAGUUUUUUUUUUUCCUUUUUCUGCCCUUUUCUCUUUUGACUUCCUGAAUCACUGAAUGCCCUCCAUCACUACAACAGUGUACAUUAUGGGAAUCCUCAAUGCCUUAGGGCCAGGAUGGUCACUCUGGCUGUACCUUAGGUUAAGCUGCAAGUUAUUGUGGGAGCACAAAGGGUAGCGCUAGCCUAGCUGAACUUUCUCUGGAAAGAAGGUUUUAGUAUUCAUUGUUGGAAUCUGGUCAUUCCUGAACUGAUCUGUUGCUUAUGGAAAUAAUAAUUCUCAGUCUUCUUUAAAAAUUUUUAUAAAAAUAUUAAUUUCAUUUUGGGACUUAUAAGCUUACUUCAGUGCAAUAUGAUACUUUGCAGUUAUAUUCUUUUUGUUAAAUGUUUAAGAGAAAAUACUUUGGUUUGACAAAAUAGAAACUUUUGAUGAGCUUUCAGAAAGUAGGAUCUAAUGCAAACAAGUGUUCUUAAUUAACUGAAAAUUUAUAGUGUAUAUAGUUAUAUAUGUGUCAAUUUAAUAAUUCCUUUUUUCAAACUUUAUUGAUAGAUAUCGGGUAGAUGAUGAAUUUCAGGUUGCUUGCUUCUUUUAUUUGAGGGCCCUUUCCCAACGGCAGCUAUCCUUCUGGAGUUGAAAAUGCUGGUCUGAGCUCUCAUGUUACUAUAAUUCUCUUUCUGUGAGGAUUGACAGUAGGUUGUGGCUUUUAGCCUAAGGAACUUUCCAAACAGAAAUAUACACAGCAAGAUACUUUUUCACUUGAAAAAACUUUUUCUUUGCAAUCUGACUUUUUUCUACUCCUUAAUAAGCUAUUCAAUAAAAAACAAAACAAAACACAACCCUUACCCUUUGUCUUAGAAUGACUACUCAGUAUCUGUUCCAAGGCAGAGAAGCAGUAAGGGCCAGACUCUUAGGGUUAAGGGACUUGUCUAGGGUCACACAACUAUGUCUAAAACUAGAUUAGAACCUAGGACCUCCUGUCUCCAGGCCUCACUUUCUGGAUGCUAAGCCACGUAGCUGCCCCCCCCCCCAAAGAAGAUAUUAAAUUUAAACUGACAAGAAAUUACCGUAAAGUAGUAAGAAGGGUACAUAAAAUACUAUAAUGCUAAUUUUUGAAAUUGACUGGAAAUCCUCUCUUCUUUGAAGGAUGAUGAAAUUACAUUAUGGAAAAAUAAUUUUGUUUAUUUUUUGUUAAGUAUAAGAAAAGCAUAUCUAUGUAUAUAUAUCAUAUAUAUGGAUAUCACAUUUUAAGAGUCUUAGAAAUGUCUAUGCUGCCAUUUAUAUUUUCAUUUUCUUCUCCUAUCCCAAAGGACAGCUGGAAGGUCCAUUAAGUAAGCACAAAGCAAGGUCGACAGUUGGUUAGAAUUGCAUACUUUCAGGCUUGGCUAGAUCUGGGAAAGACUUGAAAGACAUUAAACAUUAAACUUAAAUUUCUGACUUACUGUGAGGGCUGCACACUGCAGUAAACCCAUAUGUGAAAUGAUGAGGAAAGAGACUUUCUUGCCCCUUUUUUGCAGUGAACUCUACAGUUUGUAGUCUUGUUAUAGAUCUCUUGGGUCUAUUCACUUGUAAAGGUCUGUGCAAGCAGUGGAAUGAUUAGUGUAAUUGAGAGAGAGUCACAAGCAUUUUUAAAUUCACGCAUGCUAAGUGAUUUCUUGUCAAGGUAUCUCUAGGUUAUACAUAGUUGGUAUAGCUAUUGUGAAAUAUAUCGUCACGAAUUUGUCAUAAACCAUUAAUUAAAGAACAAAGACAGAACAUUUACAUUUAUGGAAAUGCACUCAAAUGUCGAACAGAUGGUGUUCUACAACAUUUAUUUGGAGGAUAUAUACAUCUGCUAUAUAAUCAGAAAUAUGCCUUUUCACAUUUUAAAAUAUCUUGAUUAUGAUUAAAAUUUUAUUGGAUUGUUUUCUAAAUGGAGAGAUAGAAAAAAGGUAAAUGUAUUUUAAAACAUUUGACAUGAUAUUAAUAAAAUUUUAUUUCUGGUGAAAUACAGGUGCCUUUAUUAAAUUCUAAACAAAGCCAUGAAGCAGGGGAAGUGGGAUUGUGAACAUUUAGUAUUUCUCUUAUGACUUGUGAAUUUCAGUUUUCUUAGCUUAAAGGGCCCCUAGAUACAAUGAUUCCACACUUAAUUUUUAACAAAGGAAAAUUUGCUUAAGGAUUUGAAUGAUCUUCCCCAGACUUCUGGAGGAUUACCUCUUCUAAAAUGACCCUUUAAAUAAUUUUUGGGUUAUUUCUGUCAUCAUUACAUAUGCCAAGACAUGAAGCCAUGAUGUCAAUAAGCUUCAGAAUCAGAAAGUUUCUUUGCUGACAGAAGAGCUGAAUGAAGGCUUUUUAACAUUCUGAAUGUGGUUCAGUAGAAAGAGUAUGAAAUUUAGAGUCAGAUGAUCGAAUAAAGUCUUGACUCUGUCCCUUCCUGCCUGUAUGAUCCUGUGCAUGUUAGUUCCCCUCUCUAGCUAUCAUUUUCUUUAGUAGUGAAACAAAGGCACUGGACUAGAUGACUUCCAAAGUUCUUUUGGGCUCUAGAUCUAUGAUCAUAGGACCACAGGAUCUAAGAAUUCUAAGGAUCAUAAUAGCUUCUGAUCCCAAGGUGAACAAGUCAGCUCCUCACAGCAUGAUUAGGUUAACUGGAUUAGAAGAUCAAAAACUGCAAGCAGAAUACUUCUCUAGAGAUAGUAACCUCAUUAUAGAAUUUUAAAAAAUCACAAUUAUAAGGGAAUUAGCCAGUUAUCUUUAAAAAUAGAAUGGAUCAUCAGUGUCCAGUAUAUCAAUGAAGGCAAAGCCUUUGACUAAGGAGAAAACUGUGUAAUUUUUACUUAAGUUAUUGUGGAACAACUGAACCUUAAAAAUAAUAGAAGGUGUCGUAUACAUAUCAUUAAAACCUUAUACUACAGGGUUGAACUCUAAUGGGAGAGGAGUCGUUGGUCUUUUCUCCAGGCUAGCAUGACAAUCUCAUAUGUUGUAUAAGUGCCUCAUACAGUGUUUUGCUCAUUCUUGGUACUCAAUAAAUAAAUGUUGUUGACUGAUCA